rnacentral:rRNA from 1 species
UAUUGCACAAUGGGCGCAAGCCUGAUGCAGCCAUGCCGCGUGUAUGAAGAAGGCCUUCGGGUUGUAAAGUACUUUCAGUUGUGAGGAAGGGUGUGUAGUUAAUAGCUGCACAUCUUGACGUUAGCAACAGAAGAAGCACCGGCUAACUCCGUGCCAGCAGCCGCGGUAAUACGGAGGGUGCGAGCGUUAAUCGGAAUUACUGGGCGUAAAGCGCAUGCAGGUGGUUCAUUAAGUCAGAUGUGAAAGCCCGGGGCUCAACCUCGGAACUGCAUUUGAAACUGGUGAACUAGAGUACUGUAGAGGGGGGUAGAAUUUCAGGUGUAGCGGUGAAAUGCGUAGAGAUCUGAAGGAAUACCAGUGGCGAAGGCGGCCCCCUGGACAGAUACUACACUCAGAGCGAAG